CUCGUGACCAGUCGUGACUAAUGAUUUAACUUUGAUAUUGGCCAACAAUUAAAAUGGCAGAGGCAAUAAUGGAUAAUUCUGGUAGACUUAUGAAGAUGGAGGUGGAUUAUAGCAAUACUUGCGAUAUAAAAGUUCCAGAAUGCAAAAAACUAGCUUCUGAAGGAAAGCUGCAUGAUGCCUUGGAUCAAUUGUUAGCUUUAGAGAAACUUACCAGAACUGUUGCCGAUAUGGCAUCAACAUCCAGACUUCUUAUAGCCAUAGUUGAAAUUUGUUUGGAGGCAAAAAAUUGGUCAGCGCUUAAUGAACACAUAAUUUUAUUAUCAAAACGGCGCUCUCAACUUAAACAAGCUGUAACAAAGAUGGUUCAAGAAUGUUGUACUUACAUAGACAAAAUGCCUAAUAAAGAAACCAUGGUAAAACUAAUAGAAACUCUUCGUUUGGUUACAGAAGGGAAGAUAUAUGUAGAAGUAGAAAGAGCAAGGCUUACUCACCGUUUAGCUGAAAUAAAAGAAGCGGAAGGAGACAUUGCAGGUGCUGCAGCUGUAAUGCUUGAAUUACAGGUAGAAACAUAUGGCAGUAUGUCACGUCGAGAGAAAGCUUCCCUUAUCUUAGAACAAAUGAGACUUUGUUUGGCAAAACAAGAUUUUAUGAGAACUCAAAUCAUAGCAAAGAAAAUUAAUGUUAAGUUCUUUAGUGAUGAGAAUGAUGAAGAAACUCAAACAUUGAAAUUAAAAUAUUACGACUUAAUGAUGGAAUUGGCACGUCAUGAGGGUUGGCAUUUGGAAUUGUGUCGACAUAACCGAGCAGUACUAGAAACUCCUACUAUUCGUGACGAUCCAGAGAAAAGACGUAUUGCGCUUUCUCGAGCAGUUCUUUAUCUUGUACUUGCACCACACGAGCCUGAACAAGCUGAUCUAACGCACAGAUUACUCGCUGAUAAACUUCUCGAUGAGAUUCCCACUUACAAAGAAUUAUUACGCUUAUUUGUUAACCCUGAGUUGAUAAAAUGGUCAGGAUUAUGUGAAAUUUAUGAAAAAGAUCUCAGAUUAACUGAAGUCUUUUCUUCUUCGACUGAAGAAGGAUGCAAACGAUGGACAGAUUUGCGAAAUCGUGUUGUAGAACACAAUAUAAGAAUCAUGGCCAAAUAUUACACUAAGAUUACAUUAACUCGCAUGGCUGAGUUAUUAGAUCUUCCGACUGAAGAAACAGAAGCGUGUCUCUGUAAUUUAGUAGAAACUGGAGUAAUUAAUGCACGUACAGAUCGUCCAGCUGGUGUAGUCCGCUUUACUGGCACACAAGAACCAGCUGCUCUUUUAGAUACAUGGGCUGCAUCAUUAUCGAAAUUGAUGGGCCUUGUGAAUCAUACUACACAUUUAAUUCAUCAAGAAGAAAUGUUGGCCGUUGCGCAAUCUUAGAAUACACGCAUGCGUGCGCGUACACACCACACAUCAUAUUUCGUUUUAUCUUGGGAUACACUGAGUGCAGCCUCGCAUUGCAUCAGUUACGUGUAAGCACUCAGCUACACUACACUAGAGUGGUGGCACACCAUGAUGUACACUACAUCAUUAUUACGCUAAAAUUCUAUUCCCACUUGAUUUCCAUUUUCAAAUUUUAAAUGUCAUUGGCUCUACACCGUCCCUUUGAGACGGUGUAACAAAAUUCCAUACACUUCGUGCAUAAAAUUUGCACUACACUGUUACAAUGUAAGUACAUACAGUAUGGAUACUGAACUUUUUAUGUGGUCCCCAAUUUUUAGUGUGCUUGGGUCGAUUUCCAAUCAGGAAUGUGGCUGCCUUCAGCAAGUUGAAAUUGCAGAUUAGGUUAAGUUAGGUUAGCUGGAUCUCCUCAUAAAAUAUAAUUAAUCUUUUCGCGUACAAUAUUGUGUGAGACUCAUGGUAAGGAAAUCAGGCCAAACAUGUGUAUCACGGCUUUAUAAAAACUCAAAUUUGUAAGCGGCGCCUUUCCAACCCACAACAUGGCGACGAGUCAACAUGUGAUCUGGGACCUACUACAAUAAAAGUGCCAACGCUCAAUAUCCAUAUUGUAUGUACGUAUUAUACUGUGACAUUGAUGUAUA